rnacentral:rRNA from 2 species
CUUACCAUGCAGUCGAACGAUGAAGCCCAGCUUGCUGGGUGGAUUAGUGGCGAACGGGUGAGUAACACGUGAGUAACCUGCCCUUAACUCUGGGAUAAGCCUGGGAAACUGGGUCUAAUACCGGAUAGGAGCGUCCACCGCAUGGUGGGUGUUGGAAAGAUUUAUCGGUUUUGGAUGGACUCGCGGCCUAUCAGCUUGUUGGUGAGGUAAUGGCUCACCAAGGCGACGACGGGUAGCCGGCCUGAGAGGGUGACCGGCCACACUGGGACUGAGACACGGCCCAGACUCCUACGGGAGGCAGCAGUGGGGAAUAUUGCACAAUGGGCGAAAGCCUGAUGCAGCGACGCCGCGUGAGGGAUGACGGCCUUCGGGUUGUAAACCUCUUUCAGUAGGGAAGAAGCGAAAGUGACGGUACCUGCAGAAGAAGCACCGGCUAACUACGUGCCAGCAGCCGCGGUAAUACGUAGGGUGCGAGCGUUAUCCGGAAUUAUUGGGCGUAAAGAGCUCGUAGGCGGUUUGUCGCGUCUGUCGUGAAAGUCCGGGGCUUAACCCCGGAUCUGCGGUGGGUACGGGCAGACUAGAGUGCAGUAGGGGAGACUGGAAUUCCUGGUGUAGCGGUGGAAUGCGCAGAUAUCAGGAGGAACACCGAUGGCGAAGGCAGGUCUCUGGGCUGUAACUGACGCUGAGGAGCGAAAGCAUGGGGAGCGAACAGGAUUAGAUACCCUGGUAGUCCAUGCCGUAAACGUUGGGCACUAGGUGUGGGGACCAUUCCACGGUUUCCGCGCCGCAGCUAACGCAUUAAGUGCCCCGCCUGGGGAGUACGGCCGCAAGGCUAAAACUCAAAGGAAUUGACGGGGGCCCGCACAAGCGGCGGAGCAUGCGGAUUAAUUCGAUGCAACGCGAAGAACCUUACCAAGGCUUGACAUGUUCUCGAUCGCCGUAGAGAUACGGUUUCCCCUUUGGGGCGGGUUCACAGGUGGGUGCAUGGGUGUCGUCAGCUCGUGUCGUGAGAUGUUGGGUUUAGUCCCGCAAC